GAAUACACGUUUCUUUUCGAACAAGUGAAAGCUUUCCUCUUAGAAAUUACUUUGGAGCUAUUCUUGGGAAGGAUGGGUGAAGAUUUUCGUAUCAUUUUCGCUAUUUUGGCAUUCUUCGCUGUGGCAGAAGUGGCAUUUGCUCCUUUGGAUGGUUGUUUGGCCCCUAGAAUAUGCAGACCCGUAAACCGCUGCUGUUUUCCAAGAGAUGGAGACUGCCCUGCUGGAAGAGUCUGCUGCCAAAUGUGGAGACUGAGUAACAGAUAAUGUGCAAGUCCUUUUUCAUCACGAUCUGACCAUUCUUCGUAUUCUCCAAUGAAGAAGAGCUUUUGCAUGUUUGAAUUGAAGUUGCCUUCAACUGUCCGGUUGAAGGAUGGAAUGGAAUAAACCGUCUUUAAUCAUAA